AUUGAACGCUGGCGGCAGGCCUAACACAUGCAAGUCGGACGAGCGGCGGACGGGUGAGUAAUGUAUGGGGAUCUGGCUUAUGGCGGGGGAUAACGACUGGAAACGGUAGCUAAUACCGCAUACCAUAAGAUGAGCCCAUGUGGGAUUAGGUAGUAGGUGAGGUAACGGCUUACCUAGGCGACGAUCCCUAGCUGGUCUGAGAGGAUGAUCAGCCACACCGGGACUGAGACACGGCCCAGACUCCUACGGGAGGCAGCAGUGGGGAAUAUUGCACAAUGGGCGCAAGACUGACGCAGCCAGGCCGCGUGAAUGAAGAAGGUCUUCGGGUUGUAAAGUUCUUUCAGUAGGGAGGCGUUAUUGACAGAAGAAGCAACGGCUAACUCCGUGCCAGCAGCCGCGGUAAUAC
rnacentral:rRNA from 1 species